rnacentral:rRNA from 1 species
CUGCUCAGACUAGCCAUGCACGUCUAAGUACAAACUAAAUGAUGGUGAAACUGCAAAUGGGCUCAUUACAACGGUUAUGAUGUACCCGGGAGUUCCGAUGGAUAUUUCCAGUAACACUAGAACUAAUACAUGUCCCUGCGUUUAUUAGUUACGCACAGUCCGUCGCUGAGUCAUGGUAAACAGUUGAUCGACUCGACGUCCCGGAACAGUUUCCGCCCCAUCAGCUUCGAUGGUUGGGUAUUGGCCUACCAUUGCAACAACGGGUAACGAGGAAUUAGGGUUUGAUUUCGGAGAGGGAGCCUGAGAAACGGCUACCACAUCUACGGAUGGCAGCAGGCGCGCAAAUUACCCAAUGCAGACACUGUGAGGUAGUGACGAGAAAUAAUAAAGCGGGACUUCUGUUUCGCUAUUAUAAUGAGGAAUAACCAAAGGUCAUUCCGAUUAGCAACUGAUGGGAAAGUCUGGUGCCAGCAGCCGCGGUAAUACCAGCGUCAGUAGCA